CACGUAGUUAGCCGUGGCUUUCUGAUUAGGUACCGUCAAGAUGUGCACAGUUACUUACACAUUUGUUCUUCCCUAAUAACAGAGUUUUACGAGCCGAAACCCUUCAUCACUCACGCGGCGUUGCUCCGUCAGGCUUUCGCCCAUUGCCGAAGAUUCCCUACUGCUGCCUCCCGUAGGAGUCUGGGCCGUGUCUCAGUCCCAGUGUGGCCGAUCACCCUCUCAGGUCGGCUAUGUAUCGUCGCCUAGGUGAGCCAUUACCUCACCUACUAGCUAAUACAACGCAGGUCCAUCUUGUAGUGGAGCAAUUGCCCCUUUCAAAUAAAUGACAUGUGUCAUCCAUUGUUAUGCGGUAUUAGCUAUCGUUUCCAAUAGUUAUCCCCCGCUACAAGGCAGGUUACCUACGCGUUACUCACCCGUUCGCAACUCAUCCAAGAAGAGCAAGCUCCUCUCUUCAGCGUUCUACUUGCAUGUAUUAGGCACGCCGCCAGCGUUCG
rnacentral:rRNA from 1 species